UAAAUAUUUAAGAUUAGAAAUAUCAAUGAGAGAAAUGAGACUACAGAGAAGCUUUUGCCGCUUUUUGUAAUUAGGAAAAACACGAACAUGAAAUGGAGCUACAUGCGUGUGAGUCGAAGAAGAAGAAAUGACCCAAAUAAAAUAAAAAAUAUAUAUGUAUAUUUACAUCCAGUUUAAUGUUUUGGAUGAUUUUCAAUUCUUUUUCCAGUAGAAGUGAGACUGAAGCUGAAGCUCUGACCUUCAUUUUAAUUCUACUUUUUCUCGUCAGAGCUGCGAGGAUAUCCAGACUUUUCUCCUGAUCUUAAACCUCUUUAAUGUUCUCACUGACCGAAAACAAUCCACCUUUAAACGUGCACCUUCAGCCAUCCUGUAAACAGUCCGAGGAGCCAAUCACCUGCUGACCUGCAGCACCACGUCACGCCACGUCCUCUUUGGAGUUUUCACAGAUCGAGGCUUCCCCGUUGCAGGAGGGAUCGGAAAACAGCCGGGCCAGGACCGAGGCCGGGAUCCGGAGCUUCCUCCGGGCUCAGAACUACUGCUGGCGACCUGGUCCCCCAGAGCGGCUCUGAGCCAAACCACCUCAUGUCUCUGACCAAAGCUAGAGACUCCAGGUUCUCUGCCUUCCUCUCUGUCCCUCUCCCCUCAGUUUAAUCCUCGGCUCUCCGGAGGAGCAUUAGGGCAAGCAGCUGGGGCCCCCUGAACGCCUCUUGAAAAGGCAGCCCACUCUAACCAGGAGGGCGAGGAGGGAGGUGGAGGUGGGGUGGAGGGGCUGUUUCAGACCACCUGGCUCCUGAGACACAGAAAAAUCCACCGGCCGAUAACUCCACACUGAGAGGAGAAGGAGGACUUGACGGCACAAUGUCUGGACUCACGCUCUUUCUUUCUUUUCUGGAAUUAAGUCUCAAAGCUGAUGUUGCUCUGCGGUCGAUGAAAAUAUUAGACAAAAAAACGUGUUAGUCUUUCUUUAAAUCCAGUUUUUUGGUUCUAUUAGAAAUGUACCGAGACUAUUCGAUGGCAGUGUUUUCAGUUUCAACAGCAUGCCUUCAGUGUUCACUUCUUUAUUUUGUGCGGGAUAUUAUGUAAAUUAAAAUACUUUUUGAUCCAUAUUUUGUUGCUUUAUUGUGUCUUGAAAACCUUACAUAUAAUAAGCACUGAGAAAACACAUAAAAACAGAGAUGUAAACCUUCCGAACUCAUGGAUAGAAACGACUGGCGAACAGAUAUUAAACGUGUUUUUACGUCACGCCUGCCGAGAUGUUUUUUCUUUUAUCACACUCACACAUUUCAGGCUGUUACCAUGAGAGGAAAAAAACCCGCUUCAUCUUGACCUGUGGUUACAGUGCACAGAGAAAGGUCAGAGGUCACGUGUUCAGAAGUGGUCUUCAGAAAUCAUGCAGUGUGCCUGUGUGCAGGGUGAUGCAGGUCAAGGCGCCAUCUCUGCACCACUUGGCAGUUAAAGACGCAUUAAGAAACAUGAGAAACAUGGAAAACUCACGUGUGUGUGUGUGUGUGUGUUUGUGUGUGUGUGUGUGUGUGCGUAUGCGUAUGCGUCAUC